GCUGCUGUGGCUGUACCACUUACCGACCUCACCAAGAAAGGUAAACCCAAUACCUUGGUUUGGGAAUCACCUCAUGAAAGGGCAUUCAAGGAAUUGAAGGAACGAGUGACGAUGUCACCAAUUCUCCGAAUGGCAGAUUUAGGUAAGCCAUUUAUUCUACGUACAGACGCCUCUAAUGUAGGUUUAGGGGCAGUACUUCUGCAAGAACAUGAGGAUGGUAAGUUUCCGGUAGCAUAUGCAAGUCGUAAAUUGCUGCAAAGGGAAAGAAAUUAUUCGGUGGUUGAGAAAGAAUGCCUUGCAGUUGUGUGGGGAAUACAGAAAUUCCACACAUACUUAUAUGGUAAGAAGUUUCUGUUAGAAACAGACCACAUGCCACUGGUAUAUCUGAACAAGGCAAAGGAUUCUAAUGGCAGAAUCAUGCGUUGGGCUCUUGUUUUGCAGGCUUACCGGUUCACUGUUGUUGCUAUAAAGGGAACUGAAAAUGUCGGGGCUGAUUAUCUCAGUCGAAAAUCUGGGACAUGAGUCAUGAACCUAGUCUUGACACAAAUCCAAAAGGUUGAGACAGAAAUUGGGAAUUUCAUCUUAAGUAGGGGGGUGUGUCAAAGAAAUAGGGUUGUUUUUUUUUGUGUGUGUAAAUGUUAAUAUAGUUAAUUAGAAUAGCAAGUAUAAAUGUUACUAUAAACCGGCUGCGGGAUACACAUCCAAGAGUACUGAAAGCCCUGAAAUCAUAAAUCAUACGGUCAAAUCUAAUGGGAAAUUUAGGGUCAGGUCUGGGGUAUGGGGAUACUUUUGUUUAUUCAAGGAAGCCUGGUUAGUGUAUGGCAGAGUUCGAGAGUUUUCUGUGUGUUUCUGAGUCAGUUGAAUUUGGGCUUAAGACCAGAGCGUUUGUUGUUUGGAAGGAGGUGCCAUCAGAAUUUCUGAUCGUCGGCCACAUUGUGGAGGCAUCUAGAGUGUUGUGUUUAUAGAAGGAAUCUAAAUGGGAUCCCAUUUUUGUUGGUGUAAGAAUUACGAUGAAGAAAGUUGAUGGAAAAGGGGAUAGAAGAUAGAAGUUUAAUAAGACGUAUGAUGCAUACUAGAACUAGUUGAAUAUUGGCCAUCAGUUUCAUAAAGACAACUACAAAUAAAUUAUACAGAGAAACGCACUGACAGGAAGGAAGCAUUCAUAUCAUAGUAAACCUCAAAAAGUGUAGCAGUGAUGUGCACUGUGUAGUUCCGAUUGGGUAACUGGAAAGAACUGGACCUGAGAACUGAAUAUAUAUUUAUGACGUUCACAGCGGAGCACAGCAAGAACAUUUGUUUUUACCAUUUGACAUUCGAUCAUCAUGGAUAAUCUAAACUGAAAUUUCUUAUUUGUUUUUAAAUGUGCAUGCUUUUAGAAUAGAAAUUAAAGCAUGAAAAUUAAAUAGAUAAAUAGAUAAAUAAACUUUGUAAUCCUC